UGGCCACAGUGACCCUCAGCUAAUUUUAUUUGUUUUCGCAAUUUACAUUUGAACGCAUUUACAAAUAUUUUUAACGGCUGUUAUUUAACAGCUGAACCACUAAUUACACAUGGUUGGGACAUUUAACUUUACAUUACAAGAAAUCAAGACACUCUGGCAACAACGUGCAUUUGUUUACAUUUGCGGACGUAUAUGUAUAUAGGUAUGGACCUCUAUCAUCAGCUCACUGGAUGGAAUUGGGUCUGUACAAGUUGGCUUGAGCAGGUGUCAAAACAAUGGACCCGGUGAUUUCAUCAGGCUGCUGCAACCUCAGGGGAAGUAUAAAGCCGCACCGUAAGUGAGUGGAGUAUGCAGCCGUGGAGAACAUCACUACGCCUAUUGGUCUCGUCAUCAGCUGCGAAGUGGAAUCCUUGCGAGUGUCGACGCUAAACUGGGACUGCAGGACAGCAUCAACAGGGCUGAAGCUGGCCGAGGUCCAGUGCAUCGUCAUUCUGGAUGUGGACUACGAUUUUCUGUGAAGUUUCUUUUCAGCCGCCGCCAUCAUCUGGAUUCUGGAGCUGCCGCUGUUCAUCAUCAGGUUCUCUGCUGGGGGCGUCAUUUGCCUGCGUAGCAGCUGCAUUUGCGCUACUGCGGCUGAUUUCCAUGUUGUGUGUUGCAAAUGGAUUGCGCAGCCAGUUCUCGCGUCUGACUUGGAGCAGUAUUGUUUGGAUGGCUGUCAGGCUUCUGUUGCUGUUUGGAUUGUGCUCUUCAAUCAUUGCGGUAUACCUUGGCCUGGCCAGCCUUCUUGGAAUGUAUGGAUGCGUUGCGAUCUCACAGGCAAUUGCUACUUGGAGAUCCGCAUGCAGUGCAUUGUUGCUCACAUACCAGGGAGCAUUCGUCAUUGCUCUGAGAGCUUUGUUUUGGAUCGUCUGGAGCUUGGCCAUUUGCAUGCUUGAAGUCAGUGGCCCCCAGACUGGCAUAGCAUACUGCCAUAUUGGGGCAAUCAGCUGCUUAUAAAGGAGGACCUUUGGAGGUAUGGCAUGACGGAUUUUUUGGCCAGGAGUUGCCCGGCUAACCUUGGAGCUGGAGUGUGUUGCUGCGCAGACCAUGAUAAUGCAUCAGCCAGGAGCCGCUCCAUAUUUUCGUUGGCUUGUUUUGGACACAGGGCAGAUACGAGGUAUACUGCGUCAUCAGCGUACGUUGCUAGCAUUUGGGUUGCAUUUGCGUGUCUUGGUGGCUGCGGCAUGUCGGCAGUGUAAAGAUUGUAGAGCACUGGGCCAAGUACGCUUCCUUGCGGCACUCCAGCGGUUAUGUGCUUUAGGCUUGAGGUGAUGUUGUUGCAGCAGACGACUUUGAAGCUUCUGUCAGAGAGAUAGCUGGUGAGUAGAAUGUAUAAAUUGUCAGGUAUUAUCGUUUUAACUUUGCAGAGAAGACCCUGAUGCCAGACUCUAUCGAAGGCUUCCUGGAUAUCCAUGUACACGGCACUGCAAUGCCGCUGCGCUUCGUAGGAUCUGAGGAUAAAUUGCGUGACACGUCCGAUUUGCUGUUCCGCUGAAUGCUGCGUUCUGAAGCCAAAUUGAUGGUUAGGAAUAGCCAUGGCAAAGCUUUCUUCUUCAAAGAGUCGCUUGAGGAUGAGGCGUUCGAGGAUUUUGGAGAAACCUGACUUUGGGAAGUGGCCGAACUGCAGAGCCGAGUUGCAUAUCAACAGCAGAUACUCGAUGGCGGAUGUUGGCAGAGAUUUAAUGACGCGAUUGUCGAUGCUGUCGAAACCGGGUGCCUUUUUCGUCUUGAGCUUCUUGAUUUCCGAUUUGAGUUCCUGGAUGGUCACAGGGCUGCCGUGAUCUUUGGCGUGAAACGUGCUUCCAGGUGCUGCGCAAAGGCCUCAGCUUUUUCCUCCGUAGUUUUGCACCAAGGAUCAGCAGGAGCUUGCUGCCCUUCCGCCACGUGCCUCCUGACUGGCAGAUUUGGAAUAGGCUGUCUCUUGAUUGUAUUGCUUGAUCCGUUUACGUAUUCUGUUAGUCAGCUGAUUGAUAGUGCGUGCAAUGAGGGGGUUGGAGCACCUAUCUCUUUGGUUGAUUUUACAGAGUAUUCUUUUGAUCUUGAUCGCUUUCAGCGUUUGCGAGUCAAGAUGAAGGUUUUGCGGUCCGUACACUGUGUGCUGGUUACUUGAGGCUUGCGAGGCCAAUUCAGCUGCAAUGUAGAUGUUUCUUUCAAGGAUAGCCACUGCAUCGUCUAUGUCGUCGCCGUUGUGAAGUUCAGUCUCCAGAUGAAUUCGCUGUUCAAGGUCUCAGGAGGAGUCUAAUGAUUUGCAUGUUGUGGUCUGAACCUAAAUCAUAUGAUGUUUCGAUGUGAAUUAAAUUGUGUCUAAUACCCUUAUAAA